rnacentral:rRNA from 1 species
UGCGUAGGUGGUCUUGUAAGCGUGGGUGAAAGGCAGUGGCUUAACCAUUGUUAGCCUUGCGAACUGUGAGACUUGAGUGCAGGAGAGGAAAGUGGAAUUCCUAGUGUAGCGGUGAAAUGCGUAGAUAUUAGGAGGAACACCAGUGGCGAAGGCGACUUUCUGGACUGUAACUGACACUGAGGCACGAAAGCGUGGGGAGCAAACA